rnacentral:rRNA from 1 species
GCUUGUCUCAAAGAUUAAGCCAUGCAUGUCUAAGUAUAAACAACUUUGUACUGUGAAACUGCGAAUGGCUCAUUAUAUCAGUUAUAGUCUACUCGAUAGUACCUUACUACUUGGAUAACCGUAGUAAUUCUAGAGCUAAUACAUGCAUAAAUACCCAACUUCACGGACGGGUAGUAUUUAUUAGAUACGAAACCAAUUGUCUUCGGGCAUUUGUGGUGAUUCAUAAUAACUUUGCGGAUCGCAUGGCGUAUGCCGGCGAUAGAUUGAUCGUGUUUCUGCCCUAUCAGCUUUGGAUGGUAGGGUAUUGGCCUACCAUGGC